AAACCGGUUGAUCCUGCCGGACCCGACCGCUAUCGGGGUAGGGCUAAGCCAUGCGAGUCGCGCGCCCGGGGGCGCCCGGGAGCGGCGCACGGCUCAGUAACACGUGCCCAACCUACCCUCGGGAGGGGGACACCCCCGGGAAACUGGGGCCAAUCCCCCAUAGGGGAGGGGCGCUGGAAGGCCUCCUCCCCGAAAGGACGGCGGCCGAUCCGCCGCCGCCCGCCCGAGGAUGGGGGCACGGCCCAUCAGGUAGUUGGCGGGUUAAAGGCCCGCCAAGCCGAAGACGGGUAGGGGCGGUGAGAGCCGCGAGCCCCGAGAUCGGCACUGAGACAAGGGCCGAGGCCCUACGGGGUGCAGCAGGCGCGAAUACUCCGCAAUGCGGGCAACCGCGACGGGGCUACCCCGAGUGCCGGGCGAAGAGCCCGGCUUUUGCCCGGUCUAAAAAGCCGGGAGAAUAAGCGGGGGGCAAGUCUGGUGUCAGCCGCCGCGGUAAUACCAGCUCCGCGAGUGGUCGGGGUGUUUACUGGGCUUAAAGCGCCCGUAGCCGGCCCGGCAAGUCGCUCCUGAAAUCCCAGGGCUCAACCCUGGGGCGGGGGGCGAUACUGCCGGGCUAGGGGGCGGAAGAGGCCGCCGGUACUCCGGGGGUAGGGGCGAAAUCCGUUAAUCCCCGGAGGACCACCAGUGGCGAAAGCGGGCGGCCAGAACGCGCCCGACGGUGAGGGGCGAAAGCCGGGGGAGCAAA
rnacentral:rRNA from 1 species